rnacentral:misc_RNA from 1 species
GAUGAAGAACGUAGCGAAAUGCGAUAAGUAAUGUGAAUUGCAGAAUCCAGUGAAUCAUCGAAUCUUUGAACGCACAUUGCGCCCGCCAGCAUUCUGGCGGGCAUGCCUGUUCGAGCGUCAUUUCAACCCUCGACCUCCCCUUGGGGAGGUCGGCGUUGGGGACCGGCAGCACACCGCCGGCCCUGAAAUGGAGUGGCGGCCCGUCUGCGGCGACCUCUGCGUAGUAAUACAGCUCGCACCGGAACCCCGACGCGGCCACGCCGUAAAACACCCAACUUCUGAACGUUGACCUCGAAUCAGGUAGGACUACCCGCUGAACUUAAGCAUAUCAAUAAGCGGGGA